GCACUGCUGACGAGUCCCGCACUAGGACGAAACGGCCGUCCAGUGC
rfam:Schistosoma curassoni strain Dakar, Senegal genome assembly, scaffold: SCTD_scaffold0000482